ensembl:lncRNA
AUACAAAUGGGUUUCUGACAGACUCAAGCAGGUAAAACAGCACCGAGGCUCCGCAAAAGCGCGGUCACACCUGCCGGGAUGGCACCAUUUGAAAAUGCUCCAUGAAUUCAAGACAGGUCAAAGACUGAUGAACAAUCACGAGGCAGCUUCACUGAGAAAACUUCGGUUAUUGUCACGAUGCAGGUGAUAUAUUGCUUUCAUGUUAAAAACACUAGUUUUAAAAAGGUAGCCUGGUGGUUCAGAUGGUAAAGAAUCCGCCUGCAUUGUGGAAGACCUGGGUUUGAUCCCUGGGUUGGGAAGAUCCCCUGGAGGAGGAAAUGAUGACCCACUCCAGUAUUCUUGUCUGGAGAAUUCUGUGAACAGAGGAACCUGGCGGGCUACAGUCCCUGGGGUUGCAGAGUUGGACAUGACUGAGUGACUAAGCACAGGGAUAAAAUAUUUUCCUCUGUCUACUUUAACAUGUAUACUUCCGCCUUACUUACACAGAAUUUAGCUCAAUAUAGGACAUCUUUGGGCCCAAUAUACCAGUUUCAUUUCUGAGAAGAACUAACGUGGCCCUCAUGGAGGAAUCCUAAGACAGUUUUACCAAAGACUUGGUCUGAGUAGGGACCACCAUCCAGAAGUUCACUGUGUGGGAAACAAAUAAAGAGCUGGUAAAAUCAUCAAAUUUGGUAAAAUAUGGAGUUAUGCAGAUUUGACCAGCUGUUGUUUAAGAUCCAAUGGUUGGGCUAUAAUUUGGGCAGAAAACUUCCUUCUGAGAAUUAUACUUUGUCUGAUUAGACUUCGUGCUGAUCCUGUAAAUCAUAACCAGACACCAGCUUAUCUGCCCCCAUGUUAAAGACAGAGAGUGAACUGUAUGUCUUGUUAAAAUGCUCCCCUAAAUUUGAAGGCAGGGACUGUUUAAGAAUGUUUUGAAGUUUCUAUUCAUUAGGCUUGCAUGUGGAGGAAUAAAAUAUGCUUCGUCUGGCCAUAUUUCUGUUAAAGCUACUACAGGUUUAUGGGAGUGCUAAAAUGGUGCGGCAAACAUGGAAAUUAGUGACACCGUCUCAUAAGAUUCUUUAUGUAUCGCUCUUAUUUUCAGGAAACAUAUGAUGGUUAUUUGGUACUUUCAGAUAAGUAGGUUUGUUUUUCAAAAUUUGAAUUCCUGUCAAAUCCACAGACAAUCCAUCAGUCCACUUUUCCACAGUGCCUUUCAGAGACAAACACCGUUAAGCACUUCAGAAAUAUCAGAUUAACAUUAAUACCCAAUGGAUUAGAAACCAGACAAAAGUGGGCUUAGGCAAACACUGCAAGUGGAGUUUGAAGGUAGGUGUACAUCAUAUCAGUUUCCUGCGGGGCUCAGCUCUCAGAAACUUGAGGGCAAGAGGCUCAUUUAAAAAUAUUUGCCAUUUUGAUGAGCCUUGGGGCACUGAAAGCACUGCAGACAAAUCAUAUAGCUCACUCAGGACGGCCACUGAGAGCAGCUCAGAUCCCGUAUUUCAAAUAGAAAAUUUCUUCUUUUCUUUCCUUUAUCUUUCUCAACUCAACUUCCUUUCUUUCUCCUGCU